AGAAGAUUUCAGCCAGCACGUGUGCGAUGCCACGUGACUGCUUCUUCUGAGUUAAUUUUGGCGGACAAGUUGAUCUUGGUCUUCGUUUUUGGAAGUUGUAAGAGAUACAGGGACAUAGAAAAGCUCAAGGGGCGAGCCGUUGGUUUUGGCCCAGCUUUCAGGAGAGGUUUCACCUGAGCAGUAGCAAAACAAGCGGGGACAAAGCCGAAUGUCAGGCAGCUAUUUACAAAAGACAAGAUGACAGGACCAACAGUAGGCAUAGUCUCCUUCAGUAGUCUUGAAGGGACCACAUCCAGGGGGGAAGUCGAUGACUUCAUAUUCUCAUAAAGACUACCAUCAACUCAAAAGCUGCAGACGCACUCUCUUGUCCUGUAAUGCCUCCAUCAGACACGACAUCUCUGGAUGGUGAGAGGAAGCAGCAAAUCAAGAGAUUUAAACACACAAUGGGGAAUCUCACUGGAAGGCUUUCACACAGGUGUGAUGGCAGCACAGUGGUGUUUGAGGUCCAGAGCGCAGGCUGUGUGGAGGACCGGGUCCACAAAGAUGUCCGCCUUACUCUCCUUCAGCAUGUUUAGGACUUCCUGCAGUCAAGAAACAACAAAGAGGAGGAAGAUGGAGCAAACAAAACUGAGUUUCUGCACCAACACCAAAUCCAUUCAGAUCACAUGUUGAAUCCUCUAAAUGCCUGUAAAUGUUUGUAGAUAAUGGUUUGGCGCCCAGGUGGAGUCCAGUCAAGUUGCAUAAGUACAGUCUUUGACCUCACAUUAGACUCAAUGUGGCCGUAAUGUAAUGAGCCAGUUGAGGUGGUUUGGCGAUCUGAUCAGGACCCAGCACCCGCUGGAGAGAUUAUCUAUCUCAUCUGGCCUGGGAAUGCCUCAGGAUCCUCCAGGAGGAGCUGGAAAACUUUACUGGGGCGAGGGACUUCUAGACAAGCUUGCUUAGCUGCCCGGCAUCGGACAAGCGGCAAAAAAAAGGAAGGAUAGAAAAUGACUUUGCAUGGAUGCAAAUGUGUGUGGGACUGUGAUGUUGUGAUUUGGAUUGUUUCACCAGUGAGUCAAAAAUUGGCAGAGGAAAAAAUAUAUGUAAAGGAUAUGUGGAUGUUUUCUAAAGCAAACUACUGGCUUGUUGGUUAAUUAAAGCCUUUUUCCUGAGAGUCCACAAGCACCUGAACACGCCAACAAAGAAGGAAUUAUUUUUAAAUAGUCCCUGUUGACACAUUAACAGCAUUACCACAUUAUAAUAAUGCAAAUUUAACUAAGUCAAGUAGUUAAGAAUAGUGUACUAAGAAUACCUUAAACUAACUUUAUCAAGAUGGAUAUCAAGAUGAAGUCAUAGCUAUCUAAAUAAUCCUAAAUUAGUGCAACAAACAGAACAAUAAUGGUAAAUAAUAUUUACCUUUUUACAGCCGUCCUGUUUGAUUUUCAGCAAGUUCACUUUCAGACACUCUUCCACCUGACCGGUCUGCUCCUGAGCUGCUGCCUCCUCCGCACACAACCUGGAGAUCUGCAGGAGGAGAGGAAGGAGGAUGUAGAGUAAAAACAAACAGGAAAACAAGAGUGGAUUUGAUGCAGAGCCAACUAGAUAUCCAAAUUAGACCUAGGUUUUUUUUGUGUGUGUACCUCAUCUGAGCAGUGCAUCUGCAGCUGUGGGUCCAGUCUGUAAUCGAGCGCUGACUCCUGGAGAAUUACUCUUAUCUGGUCUUCACAGUCUGGAGACAACCUCUGAACCAAACCCCAGGCCAAUGAACACAAAAUUUAACCAGUGCCAUUAAAAGAUUUACAUAUUUAAAGUCCAUCAUGAAGACAAAGUAUGGCAUACAGUAGAAACUAUGUACCUGUAAUUCCAACGCCAACACAACUUCAUAGGACUACAAGAAACAUUUUGUCAUUUUCAUUCCACAACGGUUAAGAUCCAAGUGAAGUGUAGAUCCCACAUUUGUAUUUAUUGUUGGUUUAUAGCCCUUUUCUACCCUUUCACCGUUUCAUUUUUAUUUAUUCUUAAGUUUCAUUGACAUGCUAGUCUAUUGUGUAAAACUGUUUUUAUUUUAUUUAACCUUUAUUUAUUCAGGGAGCUUCACUCAUUUGCAGGAGGGCCCUGAUCACAUUCACACUGGAGCUAUACGGGCCUGUAAUACGGUCAUGUUACAGUAGUUUCUAGCAGAGAUUUUAGGAAGCCGAUUGUGAUGUAGUUGCGGACUGACCUGGUCGGCGUAUUUGAGUUUGAGGCAGGCGACGACUUGACCCUCCAGCUCGCUGUCCUCGCUCGCCUUGUUCAGGAUGGGCUGGCAGAACUUUGGGAUGUCUGCUCGACAAGCUUUUCUCAGCACCGGGUUCAACCUGUAGUCUGCAGGAUGGAGGUGUGUCAGAGUCAGAUGAGACACUGAAGGACGUUUCUGGCGUCCGCGUCGGUACAAAACCGCUGCAGGACAGUGUUUGGAUUUCCAUCAACAACCAAACAGCAAAAAGUUGAUUACAACCGCUUAGAUCUGGGAACACAGUGACGUCGCUACAACAGAGCCACCAGUUAAUAACCAGAUAAUCUAAACUACUUUAUUUGGAGGCAAGUGCAACAGAAAUGCGGCUAAUAGUCCUUCAUUAAAAAAAAAAAAAAUGCACUAGGCCAAA